rnacentral:rRNA from 1 species
UAAGUAGGGCGGAACACGUGAAAUUCUGUCUGAAGAUCGGAGGACCACCUUCGAAGGCUAAGUACUCCUUACUGACCGAUAGCGAACCAGUACCGUGAGGGAAAGGUGAAAAGCACCCCGACGAGGGGAGUGAAACAGUACCUGAAACCGAACGCCUACAAUCAGUCGGAGCUUGACU